UGAACGCUAGCUACAGGCUUAACACAUGCAAGUCAGGGGCAGCAUGGUCUUAGCUUGCUAAGGCCGAUGGCGACCGGCGCACGGGUGAGUAACGCGUAUCCAACCUGCCGUCCAGUAGGGGACAGCCCGUAGAAAUGCGGAUUAAUACCCUAUGUUCUCCGAGGAUGACAUCAGAUUCGGAGUAAAGAUUCAUCGCUGGACGAUGGGGAUGCGUCUGAUUAGGCAGCAGGCGGGCAACGGCCCACCUGGCCGACGAUCAGUAGGGGUUCUGAGAGGAAGGUCCCCACAUUGGAACUGAGACACGGUCCAAACUCCUACGGGAGGCAGCAGUGAGGAAUAUUGGUCAAUGGACGAGAGUCUGAACCAGCCAAGUAGCGUGCAGGAUGACGGCCCUAUGGGUUGUAAACUGCUUUUAUGAGGGGAUAACGUGCGCCACGUGUGGUGUAUUGCAGGUACCUCAUGAAUAAGGACCGGCUAAUUCCGUG
rnacentral:rRNA from 1 species